UAAAAAUACUUCGGUGCUAUAUUGGCUCCAUGUCUGUUACCGAUUUAGUGUAUAAGUGAUUUGCACAACGUGGUAUUUUUCUAGCCCACCUGCCAUCAGAAGAAGUUUGCGCCAAAACUAAAAAAAGUGGAUUUUUUCUCAAAUACUACUGGUUAAUCAUCUGUCUGUGACAUGACAAACAUACCUGAAUCAGAAUGCUGACAACUGAAAUAGCUGGUUUUGGAGAAAGAAAAUGUCAUUUUAGAAGCUAAAGAUGACCAAUUGAUGCAAUACAGAAUCCUAGGCAACACUUAGAAUGAAAUGUAGGGAUGAAAAAGAGGGCAACAGUCACCGAGCUGAAAUUCAAUAGCAGGAAAUAGCUGCUCAUCUGGCAAAUGAUCAAUGGUGGAAAUAAAGAACUGUAGAAAACUAAACAAUUGAAUUAGUUCAUAUAUAUCGAGACUCCUGGAGGAACCACAAUUGACACCUGCCAUUUUUAACUCAUGUACAAAUUACAAAAUGCUGUUUAACUAUUCAACAUGAUAAUGUGAAAAAAGUCAGCUAUUCUUUUAAAGUUUAACUCAAACUCGUAAUAUCUGGAGUAUAAAUCAAUUGCAAAAACUAAAAUACAGUUACUAAAUAUAUCAGAGCUAACAGCUUGACACUUUCUAGACAGAUUUUAAGUCUACAGGAUGUAAAAAAGCAAAGGAACAAGUAAGAAACAUGCCAUUGAGCUUAUUUUAUCUAAACAAAAAGUAGUAUGAAUAUAGCAAGGUUGUAUUUGCCAGUCACAUGACUUAAGUAUAUUUGUUAAAACAAUUUAAUUUUGACUGAUCUUUAUAGGAAACAUGUUAAGAUUAAUGUUUAAAUUUUUAUGUGUGUUAGCAAGGAA